AUUGAACGCUGGCGGCAUGCCUUACACAUGCAAGUCGAACGGUAACGCGGGGCAACCUGGGCGACGAGUGGCGAACGGGUGAGUAAUGCAUCGGAACGUACCCAGUAGUGGGGGAUAGCCCGGCGAAAGCCGGAUUAAUACCGCAUACGACCUAAGGGUGAAAGCGGGGGACCGUAAGGCCUUGCGCUAUUGGAGCGGCCGAUGUCAGAUUAGGUAGUUGGUGGGGUAAAGGCCUACCAAGCCUUUCGAUCUGUAGCUGGUCUGAGAGGACGACCAGCCACACUGGGACUGAGACACGGCCCAGACUCCUACGGGAGGCAGCAGUGGGGAAUUUUGGACAAUGGGCGAAAGCCUGAUCCAGCCAUGCCGCGUGCGGGAA
rnacentral:rRNA from 1 species